GACGAACGCGGCGGCGUGCCUAAUACAUGCAAGUCGAGCGCAGGAAGUCAUCCGAACCCUUCGGGGGGACGUUGACGGAAUGAGCGGCGGACGGGUGAGUAACACGUAAAGAACCUGCCCUCAGGUCUGGGAUAACCACGAGAAAUCGGGGCUAAUACCGGAUGGGUCAUCGGACCGCAUGGUCCGAGGAUGAAAGGCGCUUCGGCGUCGCCUGGGGAUGGCUUUGCGGUGCAUUAGCUAGUUGGUGGGGUAACGGCCCACCAAGGCGACGAUGCAUAGCCGACCUGAGAGGGUGAUCGGCCACACUGGGACUGAGACACGGCCCAGACUCCUACGGGAGGCAGCAGUAGGGAAUCUUCCACAAUGGACGAAAGUCUGAUGGAGCAACGCCGCGUGAACGAUGAAGGGCCUUUCGGGUCGUAAAGUUUCUGUUGUAAAGGGA
rnacentral:rRNA from 1 species